UAGAAGUCAAGGGUUGUAACGGGGCUUGGGGGUAAUGGCUAACAAAGAAAGGAUAGGGAUAAUAAACGUUUUGAAAGCAAUAGCAAGCAAAGUAAUGAAAUAGAUGCUUGGAAUUCACUCAAUAAUGCAGAAAUUAACUUUUAAACACAACGGGAAGAUUUAAGCAAACACUUAGGGCUCUUUUUCACAACUUUUCUUCUUUUCAUUCUAUUUUCCACGAAUGUUUUUUUUUCUUUUUCUUUUUACCCCGUGCCUUAUUAAAGACUUUGGCACACACACACACACACAAGAAUCACUUCCCCCACACUUGUUUUUCUGCAAAAGUUCAACAAAAGGAAUUCCUUCU
rnacentral:lncRNA from 1 species